rnacentral:rRNA from 1 species
UACGGAGGAUCCGAGCGUUAUCCGGAUUUAUUGGGUUUAAAGGGUGCGUAGGCGGGACCUUAAGUCAGCGGUAAAAUUGCGGUGCUCAACCCCGUACUGCCGUUGAAACUGCAUCCCUUGAGUGCGCGAGAAGUACGCGGAAUGCGCGGUGUAGCGGUGAAAUGCUUAGAUAUCGCGCAGAACCCCGAUUGCGAAGGCAGCGUACCGGCUCCACACUGACGCUGAGGCACGAAAGCGUGGGUAUCGAACAGG